UACAGAGGGGGCAAGCGUUGUUCGGAAUUACUGGGCGUAAAGGGCGCGUAGGCGGCCUGUUAAGUCGAACGCGAAAUCCCCGGGCUCAACCCGGGAACUGCGUCCGAUACUGGCAGGCUUGAAUCCGGGAGAGGGAUGCGGAAUUCCAGGUGUAGCGGUGAAAUGCGUAGAGAUGUGGAGGAAUACCGAUGGCGAAGGCAGCCUCCUGGGAUAACACUGACGCUCAUGCACGAAAGCGUGGGGAGCAAACAGG
rnacentral:rRNA from 1 species